rnacentral:SRP_RNA from 1 species
GCCGGGCGGGGUGGCACGUGCCUGUAGUCCCAGCUACCCAGAGGCUGAGGUGGGAGGAUCUCUUGAGCCCAGGAGUUCUGGGCUGUAGUACGCUAUGCCGAUCAGGUAUCUGCACUAAGUUUGGCAUCAAUACAGUGACCUCCCGGGAGCGGGGGACCACCAGGUUGCCUAAGGAGGGGUGAACCGGCCCAGAUUGGAAACGGAGCAGGUCAAAAACUGCCGUGCUGAUCAGUAGUGGGAUCGCACCUGUGAAAAGCCACUGCACUCCAGCCUAGGCAACAUAGCGAGACCCCGCCUCUU